GUGCAGUGAUGUAUUGCCAACACAUCAUUCUGAAGAAAAGUGUGGUAACUUCCUGUGACAGCCCA
ensembl:snoRNA SNORD63 Small nucleolar RNA SNORD63